UGGGGAAUUUUGGACAAUGGGCGAAAGCCUGAUCCAGCAAUGCCGCGUGUGUGAAGAAGGCCUUCGGGUUGUAAAGCACUUUUGUCCGGAAAGAAAUCCUUGGCUCUAAUACAGUCGGGGGAUGACGGUACCGGAAGAAUAAGCACCGGCUAACUACGUGCCAGCAGCCGCGGUAAUACGUAGGGUGCAAGCGUUAAUCGAAUUACUGGGCGUAAAGCGUGCGCAGGCGGUUUGCUAAGACCGAUGUGAAAUCCCCGGGCUCAACCUGGGAACUGCAUUGGUGACUGGCAGGCUAGAGUAUGGCAGAGGGGGGUAGAAUUCCACGUGUAGCAGUGAAAGUGCGUAGAGAUGUGGAGGAAUACCGAUGGCGAAGGCAGCCCCUGGGCAAUACUGACGCUCAUGCACG
rnacentral:rRNA from 1 species